ACUGAGAGGCCGAGCUGGAGACAUUCUUUCCAUUUUUCCUUAAGCAAAUAUUUAUGUAGCUCCUACUCUGUGCGAGACACUAAGGACGGAACUAAAACCAGCACAAACAAGGUCCUUGCCCCCGUGGAGUAGAUGGAACAGCAGGACGAAGAUAAAGAGAGUAAAAAAGAAAACAACCCAGCACCCUUGUUCCUCCCACAACCUUUGCACACGCGGACAGCAGCCUGAGGCGCUUGGGAUGCGCAGGAAGCAAAGCCUUCCACUAAAGCUGCGGGGCUCUGACAGAGGACCCAGGCAUCGGCUCAGGAAUCAGGGACGCGGAGGCCCUGGGGACCCUGGCACCUCCAUCCGCGACACCUGCCACGUCUCUCCUGAAAGCCAGGUGUCUUCAGGCCUCCUUCCACUUGCUGCUUUCACCGAGGAAUUUGCAGCAACAGAGCCAAGUGUGACACAACAGCAGCCCAGAGCUCCACCCUUCCAGGGAACUGUUAUUUUUAGGCUUCUCCUCCUUUUGCACGGCCUUCUGUGUGCCUCCCUCCGUGACUCAGGCGCUGCAGCGCCAUGUGGGCCUGGCUUGUUUUAACAAAUCUACUCUCCAUUCCGUCUCUCUCUGCCCCAGCCUGGAGACUCUCAGGUGAGAAGCGCUGUGGGCCUAUUCAGUGUCCCCCAAACAUACAGUGCUCGCUCCUGAAAGUGGGGUGAACACACAGCUCAUGAGCCAGCAAGUUACUGGGCUGUGGAGCCGAGUGCAUCGUUUCCCUAUCGCUUUACUCCUCGUUCAGCAUCGUUUUGGACACCGUGAAAUGCUUUUCUUCAAUCUGAGGCCAUGUUACCCAGCAGGCACUGAGGCCACAUCCUGAAAAGCCACGGCUUGCGUAAGCCAUAAGGUUUGGUGCUCUCCAUGAGACAUGGAGCUCUCAAAAGGUGCAAAAUGGAACUGGAGCUUUGUAGCAGGUGCUGAGGAGAGUGGCAGCCACAGAGCUGCACACAAGGAAAUCUCUCCCAUCCUUGUCUCACCAACAUCAAAUAAAGAACUUUGUUACCAUGUGCUGUAGUUUGGAUCUGCAAUGCCCCCCAAAGGCCUUGGUGUUAAAGGCUUGUCUCCAGCUUGGAGCUGCUGGGAGGUGUGGACCCUUUAAGAGGUGAAGCUCCAGCCAUGAUGUGCAGCCCUGCCAUAGGCUCAAAGCACAGGGCCAAAACACAGGCUUAUAGACCAGAAUCUCCAAAACCGUGAGCCAUCCAGAAGUGGCUGAUGCACUGAACACCAAGUCAAUGAAUCAUGGCUUGCCUCUGAGGCACCGGACAGUGAUGCUCCAUAAUAAAUGACCACAGCUGAGCUGCAACCACCACUGUCACCACCGCCACCUUUGAAUCCUAGUUUCAGCCUCCUCUUUCAAGGCAGUUUUCAGCUAGGAAGGGGAAACCAAAGAGUGCAGAAAUCCUCAGGAUGGAAUAACUACAAACAGUACCCAAUGCUUCUCUUUUGGCAAAGAAAACAAACCAUGUUUUGAUUAUGAAAAGAAGGGAAACCAUCCUGGAAAAUAAAAGUCACUCAUCUCCUAACGCUGGGUUCCCUGGGAACAAAAGCAGCAUCACAGUUCAGACAGAGCUUCUGGAGACCUCAGCAAGCCAGAACCAAAGAGCAGGACUGAAGGACCGUAAAGUUUAUGCAGCUUUCUGAUGUCUGCAGGCUCUCCAUUGAAGUGUUUGUGAUGCUGCAUACUAAACUCAUAUUUAUAGGUGCGUGUAUCUCCUAUCUGUGUUUCGUUAGGGAUUUGGGAGAGUGUCUCUCCAGGGAAAGCCGCUCGUGCUUGUUCUCUGACCUAUAGUAGGGACUCCUGCAGGGACCGUGGAACAUCACCAGUAGCCAUUGGUGAAUGCAAAGCAUCUUGUUCACUUGUGUGAUUAUCCGACACUUUGCACAUGUUGUGUGGAAGGCUCAGAAAGGGUCACAAACUUACCAGAGUCACCGAGUUGGCAAGGACUAAAGCUGGGAUUCAAACACAAGUCCCCAGAGACUCUACGAUGUCACCCUCCCACAAACCAGAGCUUCAGUGGACACUUCCUCUAGGAUAGGAGAGUGGGAAGCAUCCCCGGAUUCCAGCAGUAAGGCAAGCCUGGUCCUGACCAGGGUCUCCAGGUCUCCAGGGGGCCCUACCCAGGAACAUGGGUGCUGGCAGCCUGCACCUCCCUCCUCUAUAUACAGUUUUCUAUGGCCACCAGACAGAUGCUUGAAAUACUACAGCUCCAAUCUUUGUGAACCUCUUGCAAUUCCUCCACUGCCUGUGAGGCUUCCCAGGCCCAGAAUGGGGAAUUCUACUUUAGAGGGAUACUGUAAAUAGUAAGGAACCAGUGAUUAUAAAUCUUUUGGCAAACAUGUAGUUGUAUAGAAACAUAAAAUAAUCGUAUGUUCCCAUUUAAUGUCAUUUCUAGUCUUCGGGCAACACAAAGACAUUUUGUCUGUUGUUUAGGAUUUAACCAUCCACAAUAUGCAAAGAAAUCACCAGGGUCUUCUUACAUAAGGCAUGAAGAAAGUUCUCUUCGUCUUCACGCUGUCUACCCCAGAGGACUGUUUUGUUUUGUUUGUGCUUUGAGGAUCGUUUCUCCGAGGGCACUCACAGGUCAUUACAAAGUGAACUCUUCCCAGUCAGCCUGUACCUCGAUGAUAAGCCUGACACGAGCCUUCUCUACAUGCGUCUCUUUCCUUCUGCGAUGAUGUCUACCGGGCCCAGAUUAGUGUCUGUCUCCAAAAUCUAAUUAUCCACAUUAACUGGGGACCUGCUAUCUGGAUAAAUGAUUUCCACAAGUGUUCCAGGAAACUUUAACCUUAAUGACUUCAUCAUAAUUAAUAGCUCUAAAUUAAUCCAGAGGGCCUUGCAACGCAGUUGCCAAGAAGGAAUAACCACCCUGAGAACCUCCGCUUGGCGCUUGUCCCACACGUGGAUGGACGUUCCCAAGAACAGCGACACACGGGAAAGGCAAAUGGCAUCAGGAAUGAAAUGAAAUGAGGCCACUGGUUGUCCCCACGCUGGGUGACCACCACUGAGCUUGAACUUCUCCUCCAUUCCCCUGCAAGUGGAGUGGCUCGCUCUCUGCUCACUGGAGUGCUGAGGCAUGCCGCCCACCACUUGGAAGACCACUCAACAGCGACUGCCAUUCUUUGCAAAGGUUUUGUGGGGGUCUCCAAGAGGCUGGCCUCUGCCAUAACUUCAUGUCUUCUUCAACGGCACAGUCCUAAAAGGUUUUCCCUACCAGGGCUCCAGCCCCGUUCCUGGCUGCAGCCCCCAAAUGAAAAGUCUCUAGGGGUCUGGGCUCUGAAGUAUCUCACUGUGAGUGUCACCUCUUUAGCAAACAAGCUCAUGCAAGGUGUUUUAAGGUAAUUAAAUCUUCUGUUAUAGCCUUUAAAUAUUCGUAAACUGUUACCAUGGUCUGUAGUCUGAGCACCAUGGUAACCCAAUUCCCCCCCUCAGCCAGAGUCCUCAGGAGCUGGGUUGAUGCUGCUUCUGAAGAGCUUCGGCUACACUGGGCAGACUUCCUUGUUAUCGAAAAUGGAAAAUAUUUUUCUCUACCCUUCUUCACAGGGAGAUUCCCCUGUUCUUCACCGGAAUGCAUUGUGCAGCAAACAGGGUACUGUCAACUGCUUGCCAUAAAGUCACAUUUUGUUAGACAAGGUUUAAAAAAUUUUUUUGUUUGUCUUUUUGAGAUAGGGUCUUGCUACAUAGUUCAGGUUCUUGAACUCACUUUGUAGUCCAGGCUGGUCUCAAACUUGCAAUGAUCCUCCGGCCUCAGCCUCCCAAGUGCUGAGAUUACAGGCAUGAGCCACCAUACCCAGCAAAAAUUUUUAUUUUUAUUAGUACAUAUUUGUAGUACACAAUGAUUAUAUUCAUCAUGGGGAGUUUUUUCAUUCCCUUCCCUUCACUUCCUCCUCCUUUUCUCCAUCUCUCAGUUCUCUUCCCAUGUACCAAGGACCUAAACUCAAAGUAUAAAUAAAUUAAAAAGCAUAAUAAAAGAGAAUAAGAAACAGGGAGAAUAAAUAAGCUUUUAUACUUGCA